CUUGGUGAUAAUGGAAAAAGGGGUACACCUGAUACCAUUCCGAACUCAGAAGUUAAGCUUUUUAUCUAUGGGUGAGAAGAUUUCAUAUGCUUAAUACGUACGAAGG
rfam:Chlamydia psittaci 10_743_SC13 genomic scaffold CP_10_743_SC13.contig.1, whole genome shotgun sequence.